GGACUCAGGCAGGCAUCUUCUCUCAGGUCACUCUUCUGUCCCUGCAGAGGAAAAUCAUGAAAGACCCCAAGCUGCUUGAGUUAAAGUCUCCAUUUAUUUUUUUUACAAAAAUCCAACGUAAGACCAUUGUGCUCAUGACUGGUAAAGGGGUGGGGCGGAUGGAUAUGGCAUGGAUAUCAAAGAGCGCCCCCCUUCAGAAUCUCACUUCAAACCAGGAGCCCCCUGAGCACACCGCAGGCAGCCCUUGCGUUACUGUGGACAGCCAAGGAAACCCACGGGGGGCUGCAGAGCUGUCCUCCCGUUCCAGGCGAGUCACAGGUAGGUGGGAGAGAGGACAUCUGGGAUUCCCAAGGCGACUGAUCAACACAGAGACACGUUAAGCACAGAGCUGGGCCUCUCCCUACUCCACCUUGCAGAAAGCAGCAGCCAUCUCCAGGAGCGCCCAACCAAGCAACAGGCAAGAGGACCAUCCUUUUAAGCCCACUGGUGGCCAGUGUGCCUGCCCCCAGCCUGCUGCGUGGGGUCCUUUGAGUUCGCGUCUGGUUCCGGUCCACACAGCGCUCUCCUUGUUUAAAGCUCUGAGGUCAUAACCCUCUCUGCCGUACACUUGGAUGGUACCCAUCACCUCAGACCGUUCAGCACUCCUGGAUCUAGCACAGCACUCAGGGACCCAACCACCUGGCUCCACUAAAGGGGGUCCUAACAGACUGCUCCUUUCUCACCAGGUCCCACUGAAAGUCAGCUUACGAGUUCCUCACAUUAAAAUAAACAAGAUAAAAAUAGCAGCCACAUAUAUAGCUCAAAACACCACACUCUUUGGCUCCCCAGAGGGAAGAAGGCUACUGCUAAAAAGAAUAAGGUCAGGAGACAAGAAAAGGGGGUGAGAAAGUUAGGAUGCAGGGAGUCUGCACCCCUUUGCUGGGUUACUGAAACGUAUAACUCAAUUUCCUAGGUAGCUGCCUCAGCAGGAGGGCUACAAGAAGAUGCCAGUGGGACCCUCUGCACGACACGAGUCGUAGGAGCAGCGCUGCUCCUGCCUGCUGAUGCAGAGCAGUCCCGCAGGUCAAGCCAGCCCCACAGUCGGGUGGUAUCUCCAGGACAGAGCCUGGCUUCAAAAUGAUACUUGCUGAGAACCCAGUUGGUACAGGCAGGUCAGAGAAGAACGUGCCCCCAAG
rnacentral:lncRNA from 1 species